UACAGAGGGUGCAAGCGUUAAUCGGAAUUACUGGGCGUAAAGCGUGCGUAGACGGUUAUUUAAGUCAGGUGUGAAAGCCCCGGGCUCAACCUGGGAACUGCAUUUGUGACUGCAUAGCUAGAGUACGGUAGAGGGGAUGGAAUUCCGCGUGUAGCAGUGAAAUGCGUAGAUAUGCGGAGGAACACCGAUGGCGAAGGCAAUCCCCUGGACCUGUACUGACGCUCAUGCACGAAAGCGUGGGGAGCAACAGG
rnacentral:rRNA from 1 species